GACGAACGCUGGCGGCAGGCCUAACACAUGCAAGUCGAGCGCCCCGCAAGGGGAGCGGCGGACGGGUGAGUAACGCGUGGGAACGUACACCUUUCUACGGAAUAGCCUCGGGAAACUGGGAGUAAUACCGUAUAAGCCCUACGGGGGAAAGAUUUAUCGCCAAAGGAGCGGCCCGCGUCAGAUUAGGUAGUUGGUGGGGUAAAGGCCUACCAAGCCUACGAUCUGUAGCUGGUCUGAGAGGAUGAUCAGCCACACUGGGACUGAGACACAGCCCAGACUCCUACGGGAGGCAGCAGUGGGGAAUUUUGGACAAUGGACGCAAGUCUGAUCCAGCAAUGCCGCGUGCAGGACGAAGGCCUUCGGGUUGUAAACUGCUUUGUACAGAACGAAAAGGCUCUGGUUAAUACCUGGGCUCAUGACGGUACUGUAAGAAUAAGCACCGGCUAACUACGUG
rnacentral:rRNA from 1 species